CGGAGAAGCAGGCGAGGGUUUAAAGGCGCGCGUCGAAGAAGAAGGCUGUUCCCACCACCUCCGCCAACUCCUUCGUAGUUACAUUGGAACCUCUCUCAUCUUCCUCCUAUCCUCACCCCAUACGCACGCUCUGAUGUGCAGUAACGCCCCCUUCGUGCUCCGCACCGUCAAAUCAUCUCCCUUCGUUCCGUGCCCCAAUCCCCCCCUCUCGGUCCCUCCUCCAAUCCGUCUCCCGAUCACCGACACAUGCUGCGAGGCGUCGUGAGCGAGGCCGCGUGCUCCUACCGUACAAUCAGUUUCUCCGGCCGGUGCACACGGUGGAUCCCCUCCGUUUCCAACUUCCUCGGUUCCUCUCGAGACUCGAUUGUGUGCGACAAGGAUCGGGUGUCGGACCUUGGGAGGCCGAUCGGUAAUAGGUUCUUGGAAGUUGACUACCGCCAAAACCAGGAAUCGUUGCCGUUUUUUCUGUGCGCCACGUCGUCAAUUGCUGGUGUUCCGACGGAUUUCAGGAGUUUUGCUGGCGUACAUGUGGCGGCUUCUUCGACUGAUGUAGACGAGGAGACUCCCUCCGCAGGAGACGUACAACGCUUCUUGAAUGGGUGGGGCAAGGAUGAGGUGAACGAAGAUGGUAAAGCACGCGGUAGUUUCAGCGGGUCCCCGCCGGAGAGACGGUUUCAGCACCGUCCCAAGUUGGUGGCUGGAAUGUGUGCAAGAAAGUACUACGUGCUUCGUCAGAGACAAAUUAAGAUAGAGACUGACGCUUGGGAGCAGGCGGCUAAGGAGUACAAGGAACUCUUGACGAAUAUGUGUGAGCGGAAGUUGGCCCCAAACUUACCGUAUGUGAAGUCCUUGUUCUUGGGAUGGUUCGAGUCAUUGAGGGACCGAAUUGCCAUGGAGCAGGAGCAGUGCAGGGUUUCAAGAUAUAAGUCAUCACUUGUUCCUUACUUCAAUCAGCUUCCUGCAGAUAUGAUGGCGGUGAUCACUAUGCACAAGACGAUGAGUCUUCUGAUGACUGGCAGUGAAAAUGGAAGUGUUCUUGUUGUUUAGGCUGCAUGCAAAAUUGGUGAUGCCAUCGAGCGUGAGGGAAGGAUUCACAGGUUUAUGGAGAAAACUAGGAAAAACAGAGACAAGGAUAAGAAAAGUGAAGAAGCUGGUUAUACAGUUACCAGAGAGCAAGAAUCUUUAAGGAAAAAGGUCUUAAAGUUGAUGAAAAAGCAAAAGCCUCACCAAGUACGAAAACUGGUCAGGGGUGAAGAUGAUUCCAAACCCUGGGGCCAAGGUUUAAAGUCUUUUUUUAAGGUUGGAAGCUGCUUGAUCGAACUCUUACUAGAUACAGCUUAUAUACAAUCUCCUGUUAGUCAGUCUCCUGAUGGUCCUCCUGAUUUUCGGCCUGUGUUCAGGCACUCUUUGAGAACUAUCAUCACAAAAGAACAACAGAAACUUAUUCGGCGCGUUGGGGUUAUUGAGUGUGAUCCUCUAGUUCGUCAAGGUCUAGAUAGAACCUGAGCAAGACACAUGGUUAUUCCUGACAUGCCAAUGUUGAUACCUCCAGUAAAUUGGAAAAGCUAUGACAGAGGAGCAUAUUUGUUUCUUCCGUCUUAUAUAAUGCGGACACAUGGAUCAAGACAACAACGAGAGGCUGUUAGAAGGGCACCAAGAGAGCUGAUGCAAGCCAUUUUUGAGGCACUGGAUACACUAGGCAAUACCAAAUGGAGGGUUAAUAAAAGGGUGUUAAGCAUUGUAGACAGAAUAUGGUCGAGUGGAGGACGUCUUCCUGAUUUGGUUGAUCAUGAAGAUAUUCCUCUGCCUGAGAAGCCUGAAACAGAUGAUGAAGCUGAACUAAUGAAAUGGAAGUGGAAACUGAAAUCUGUAAAGAAGGAAAAUAGUGAAAAACAUUCUCAGCAUUGUGAUGUGGAACUUAAACUUUCUGUAGCUAGAAAAAUGAAAGAAGAGGAGGGAUUCUACUACCCACACAAUGUUGACUUUAGAGGCCGUGCAUAUCCCAUGCAUCCCUACCUAAAUCAUCUUGGUUCAGAUUUAUGCCGAGGAGUGUUGGAGUUUGCAGAGGGACGGCCACUGGGAAAAUCUGGUUUACACUGGUUAAAGAUACAUCUGGCAAAUUUAUAUGUUGGUGGUGUGGACAAGUUAUCACAUGAUGCUCGAAUAGCAUUUACUGAGAAUCACUUGGAGGAUAUAUUUGACUCUGCAGAUAGGCCUCUUGAAGGAAGGCGUUGGUGGUUAGGUUCUGAAGAUCCCUUUCAAUGCUUAGCAGUUUGUAUUAAUCUUGCUGAGGCAUUAAGGAGCUCCUCAGCAGAGACUACAAUUUCACAUGUUCCAGUGCAUCAGGAUGGGUCAUGCAAUGGUCUACAACACUAUGCAGCUCUAGGAAGAGACAAGUUGGGGGCCAUCUCUGUGAAUCUAAUUGCCGGAGAAAAGCCUGCAGAUGUAUACUCGGAAAUAGCGGCUAGAGUUCUUGGUAUCAUGCGAAGAGAUGCAGACAAGGACCCUACUGUCAAUCGAGAUGCUUUACGUGCUAGGCUAUUAGUUGAUCAGGUGGACAGGAAGUUGGUUAAGCAGACUGUCAUGACAUCAGUUUAUGGUGUCACAUACGUUGGGGCCCGUGAGCAAAUCAAUAGAAGAUUAAAGGAACGGGGUUUGAUUGCUGAUGACACAGAACUAUUUGGUGCAUCAUGUUAUGCUGCCAAAACCAUGUUGACUGCAUUAGGGGAGAUGUUUCAGGCUGCACGGAGUAUUAUGAACUGGCUUGGUGACUGUGCUAAGGUGAUUGCUUCAGAAAAUCAUCCUGUAAGGUGGACUACCCCUAUUGGACUUCCAGUGGUUCAACCUUACCGAAAAUUGGAAAAUCAUCUGGUGAGAACUUCCCUUCGAGUAUUGACCUUAAAACGGGAAACUGAAAAGGUCUCUGUCAGGAGACAGAGAACAGCUUUGCCCCCAAACUUUGUGCAUUCUCUUGACGGUUCCCACAUGAUGAUGACUGCAGUUGCCUGUAAAAGAGCCGGAUUGAACUUUGCAGGCGUCCAUGAUUCAUACUGGACCCGUGCUUGUGAUGUGGAUCAGAUGAACCGAAUUCUUCGUGAGAAGUUUGUAGAACUCUACGAGAGACCUAUAUUGGAAGAGUUACUGGAGAGCUGUCAGCAGUCCUUCCCCACCCUAAAUUUCCCACCAUUGCCAGAACGAGGAGAUUUCAACCUUCAAGACGUCCUGGAAUCACCAUAUUCCUUCAACUGACAUGGCACUAUUUUCGUUGCCAUUCAACCUCCAAUUUGCUGCCUUAUUUUCUUGUGGGCGGCUUGGUGUACGUAAGUCUACAUCCUCGGUCUCUUGGGCAAUGUCGAAGCUAACGCUUGCGCUGUGGGUGCAGCAGCAUUAACGAUCAGCAAAAGCUUCAGUGUGGAUGCAACAGGAGUCGCUUCCAUGUAAGUAAACAUAAUAUGCGUGUGAUCCUGUCUUAGAUUUACCAAGAGACAGCUCUCCUGUGCGGUUUCUGGGAAUAGGGGAUGAUUGGUCAUGAGCUUUUGCUGCUCAACAUGGUCGUAUAAUGCUAGUGUGUUAUUGUUUGGGCUGAGACUGGCCAGGUGAUGUCGGGGAUCGACAGAAACAGGAGAGUGUUGUCAGUUUCAAGAUAGGUGUGAUGUGAUGGAGGAGACCGAGCUAAGUGUGGAUGAUGAACAAGUUCAAGUUCAUGCCGGGGAAGCCAGUGUGGCCAUGUCGGGGAUCUCCUAGGGAAAGAUACUCUUAAUCCAAUUCUGUAACAUGAGGCCCCCAAAGGAAGGCAAACUUGCUCGUCUUCCUUGCAUAAUUUGUGAGGACCCUUUGGAAGCAAGUAUUACAAAGAACAACUAGUGAACAUUUAUUUUUGUAUAUAUAUAUAUAUAUAGCAGCGAUCAAUUCUUGGAGAAUUGUGUUGUAA